GACGAACGCUGGCGGCGUGCUUAACACAUGCAAGUCGAACGGAAAGGCCCUGCUUUUGUGGGGUGCUCGAGUGGCGAACGGGUGAGUAACACGUGAGUAACCUGCCCUUGACUUUGGGAUAACUUCAGGAAACUGGGGCUAAUACCGGAUAGGAGCUCCUGCUGCAUGGUGGGGGUUGGAAAGUUUCGGCGGUUGGGGAUGGACUCGCGGCUUAUCAGCUUGUUGGUGGGGUAGUGGCUUACCAAGGCUUUGACGGGUAGCCGGCCUGAGGGGGUGACCGGCCACAUUGGGACUGAGAUACGGCCCAGACUCCUACGGGAGGCAGCAGUGGGGAAUAUUGCACAAUGGGCGGAAGCCUGAUGCAGCAACGCCGCGUGCGGGAUGAAGGCCUUCGGGUUGUAAACCGCUUUCGCCUGUGACGAAGCGUGAGUGACGGUAAUGGGUAAAGAAGCACCGGCUAACUACGUG
rnacentral:rRNA from 1 species